rnacentral:misc_RNA from 1 species
GUGAAUCAUCAAAUUUUUGAACGCAAAUUGCACUCUCUUCGGAGAGUAUGCCUGUUUGAGGGUCAGCCUAAAAAAAAAAUCGACAUAGUCGAUGUUUCGCGGUGACAUUCGUCGGAAAUUUGGUCAUCUUAAAUCUUUUGAUUUUAAAUGGUUUAAAAUUUUCGUUAAGAUUUUAAGAACG